GACGAACGCUGGCGGCGUGCCUAAUACAUGCAAGUUGAGCGAUGAAGAUUGGUGCUUGCACCAAUUUGAAGAGCAGCGAACGGGUGAGUAACGCGUGGGGAAUCUGCCUUUGAGCGGGGGACAACAUUUGGAAACGAAUGCUAAUACCGCAUAAUAACUUUAAACAUAAGUUUUAAGUUUGAAAGAUGCAAUUGCAUCACUCAAAGAUGAUCCCGCGUUGUAUUAGCUAGUUGGUGAGGUAAAGGCUCACCAAGGCGAUGAUACAUAACCGACCUGAGAGGGUGAUCGGCCACAUUGGGACUGAGACACGGCCCAAACUCCUACGGGAGGCAGCAGUAGGGAAUCUUCGGCAAUGGGCGAAAGUCUGACCGAGCAACGCCGCGUGAGUGAAGAAGGUUUUCGGAUCGUAAAACUCUGUUGGUAGAGAAGAACGUUGGUGAGAGUGGAAAGCUCAUCAAGUGACGGUAACUACCCAGAAAGGGACGGCUAACUACGU
rnacentral:rRNA from 1 species